GCUGGAACUCUCCGGUCUGGCGUCGCCGCCCGCCGCCUGAAGGGGGUGCGCAGCGGUGGGAGCCGCCGUCGCCGCUGUCACCGAGCCGCUGUCGCCGCCGCCGCCGCCGCUGCCGGUUGUGCAAGCAGAAUCCUGAGGCAAGGAUGCAAGAGCGGAAAGUUGAUCUGGAAGUGAAGGUAGGAGGCCCUCAGGAAGUGACAGCUGGUCAGGAUUCUCUCCCCUCACGUUCGUGCUUGGGGCUCUUAGUCUGAAGGAGCUUCAGUACCCCUUACCUACUGCAAGUCUUACAACCUCCUUUUCCAUGUGGAGGAACAGGUGGAUGGACUGGGCUGGGAGCCGUGUGUCACCGGAGGCUACCAGCGUUUGUCCAAAUGAGUGGAGAGCCCAGGACCUGCGAAGCGAGAAGCCAGGUCGCAUGAAACGAAGUAAGAGCAUGUUUAUCCGCGGAAAAAAAAGACCGGAAACAAAAACUAAAGCCGGGAGAGAAAUCUGAAGUCACGGGGCAUGAAAUAAUAGGCAGUGGAUUUUGAUUAAGUGGAAAAUAGACUCCAAUUUGGUUUUGGAGAGCUAAAUUAUUUUGCUGGAUGGGAAAAUACUGGCAGCAAUCACACGAGUGUGUCUGAAAUACUGGCGCAUAAAGGACCAAGAAUAGGCUGGCUCAGAGAUGACCCCACGCACCCCAGCCUUCUGACGGGGAAAAUGACUUUCGGUAGAGAAACACACAUGCACACGCGUGUGCGCGCACACACACACACACACACACACACACCCUUUACAUAAGCCAAGUCCUCCUCUCUUUCCUCUCGUCUUUCCAGGUGCCAGACUUGCCUUUCCUUUUUUAAAAAUUUAUUCACAAACGAACCAGAUUGAUCUCUCGGUAAGAAAGGGAAGCUCGUCAAAGUUGCCCUGGGGUGUCAAUGAGCGCUGACAAUCAGACUAUUAUCCCAAGCACUCGCAGCAGGUACCUGCGGAGACGCUCCCCGAGAGCAGUGGGAGACGAGGAGCCGCGGCUCCUCAACAUCCCAUGCCGGGCGUCCCCCAUGCCGGGCACUGUGGCGACAGCAAGGGUCCCUCUCCGCCAUCCCUCGGAAGAAGAGCCGCGGGGGGCUUUCUCAGCGGCAACCCACGGGCUGUUGGGAGCGAUGACCUCCCUCACAGACACACCCAUGGGACCGGGCCAGCGGGCAGGUCACGGACAGACGGACGCGGGCCGCAACUUCACGGGGAGCCACACCCCAGGUGACGGCGUGCUCCUGCCACCCCCUCCCAUGCCGGGAUGGCCCACCGGGUUUGUCCCGAUGCCCGCAUGGCCAGUCUCUCCAACGUGACUGACAAGGUUUCUCUUGCUGUACGAAGCUCCGGAGGUGAAAGGCCUCGACAAGGUCAUGCAUUUUGGGAGAGCGCAUCAGUGUGUGGCACGGAGUGGACUUGAAUCGUGCUGUCUGUCCUUAGCUGAGACGAUUCCUCCGAUCAGUGCACUGUAGGAACAAUGUCACAGAAGGAGGAAACAGAAUGAGAGUAAGGUGUCUCUCGCUAGGACGGCUAGCAGUUUUCGUCGCUGUUCUUUGCCUUGGUGGCUCCUGGGCCGGGUCAGCAUCGGAGCUCUCGGGACACGACUCACCAUCAGCCCCUGCCCACCCCGGCCCCUCGCAGGGGGACUCUCCGAGGCUUGUGGGCCCCGAUUUCCGACCCACACCAGCAGUGGCUGGCUCUGACACGAAGCUGGCUUCUUCCGUCUGAGCCCCUUGUGUGCCCGAGCCAUCGCUCGGCCCCUGAGACCGGCAUUCCCCGGUCAUCCUCUCCGUGACCCCAGCCCUAGGAUGACACUUGUGGGCCUCUUUCUCUGCGUGGCUCUCAGGCCUUCCACGGAACGUGGAUCUCCGCCUCCUGAUCCCACUCCCUCGGCCUGGGAUGGCCAGAUGGCUGUCCACACGGGACAGAGCUGGUUUCUGCGACGCUGACAUCCUGCCUUCCGCGGAAUGCCCCAAACCUUGACAAGAGUAUUUGCAUGAAUUGUGGACUACCACCAGCCUGGACCAUCUCCUACACUCCUAUUAGCUGGGUCUUCAUUACAGAUUUACAGUGAUUGUUUCUGUCUUUUUGAAGCACAAACAUUUUACUCACAGAUAAGGUGACCUUUUGAAAACUACAGUAUUGCUUUAGAAAAAAAUCAUAAUUAAUAUGAAAAUAUUUUAGAAUACAUAUAACUUAUUCUUUUCAGAUGAUUUUUCAUUGUAACAUUCAUUAAGAAUUAUAUAUAACUAAAACGGCCUAUUCUAUCUUCAGUAUAAACAUUCAAUCAUAACCCCUCUCAAUGGUUGAUUAUAUAUUCCCUUCAGGUUUUUCUCUCUAUAGCAUUUACCCAUCUGAAAUAAUAUUAGAUAUGAUUUUACUCCUAUUUUUGCCUCUUAAUAACUUCAACUAAUAUACAUUUCCCAUAGCUUCCUAAUAUUACAUAAUCAAAAUAGACAUUUUCGAUGGUUCCGUGAACAAUUUUAUCAAGUACAUUCAUCACCAUAUAGUUAGCUUUUCCCCUACUGUUGGGAGCGUAGGCUAUUUCCAAAUUCUGCUGUUGUAAUGAACACUACAAUUACUUUCUUUGUGUAUAUCAAGGUUCCCAUUAAUAAUUAUUUCUCAGAAUAAAUACAUAGCUGUAAUAUUUCUGGGACAGACUCAGAAACACUUAUAUGUUGCCAAACUGAUUUUAAAAAGGAUAUUCCACUAACUCCAAGUGUGAGCUCUGAGAGUACUUGCCUUGUGAGUACUUACCGGCCUAGGCCAAAAUAUUUGUUUUAUUUUGUCUUAAACUAUAUUCACUGAUUACUAGGGAGAUGGGCCAUUUUUGUGCUUUCUACUUGUACACCUAAGGAAUAUUUGUAUACUUUGUCAGUUUAUUUCUUUCACAUACUUACUAAUUAAAUAAGAGUAUUUGCAUCUUA